CGAUGCUUUGCCCUGUGUCCUUUUUGGCUAGUGGCCGGGGCUCCAGAACGGAUCCUAGCCUCAAAACAAGGUAUGACUGUAUAUGCAAGGAGUUCUAUAGGUACCCUUUCUUUAUAUUUUGGAUUCAGUAUAAGCAAAUUAGACAAAAUCAAGCAAAUAAAAGUAGACGAUUACAGACCCAGCAAGUGCAGUGUGGCUUGGAACUUCCCUCUAAUCAUACAAAGCAGCUAGUGCCGACAUGGCUGUAAAACUCUAGGCCUGGAAGGUUUCCAAAAUGGAAUGUCCAGCUCCCUGCCGUGAGAAUCAACCUUCAGUAACCAAAUAACCAGAAACUAUUUGCUCAUGCCAUCAAGAUCAUAGUGUGCCAAAAGUAGUUUGCAGGGCUGGGGAAAUUAAAGAAUGCCUUAAGAGAAGAAGUAAAUUAAACUCCAGAUACUUAAGCAAGCAUGCGAGCAAACAAACAAAACCCCAAAUUCCUGGCAGUCUGAUUACAGGGGGGAAAUUCCUCCAAAUGUAGAAGUGUCCUGCCUUCUGAGCCUUCCCCAGGGGAAUGUAUUCAUAACCUUUCUCUUGGUCACCUUGUUCAGUUUUUUUGGAUCAGGUGUUAUUGUAUGCAUGGUUAAUAAUGCAUGCCUUAAUAAUGGAAAAUACUAUGGUACUUCUCAUUUCCAUGUAAGGCUUCUCUGGAAGGACCUGUUCCUCCUUUGUUUACUUAAAAGAGUAGUGCUUGCGAGGAGCAAAGACUUUUUCAGCUCUAGAACAAAUUCUCUGAGGAGAUAUAAUGCAGGCCAGCAAGCCAGGGCUGAAAUUAUCUGGGAAUGCUCAGGCUGUAAACAACUCAUCUUUACUGUUCCAGCUCUUAAAUUCUGUUUUAAAUAGAUUAAUUUCAGAAUUACAUUUAGAAUGAAGGAUGCGCUUCAGCUGUCAAGUCUGCUGAAGUUGUUAAUAAGAGUAAGGAGUUGUGCUGCACCAUUCACAACCACACGAGCUAUUAUUAUCUGCAUAAGUGAGUCCACAAGUGGAGAAUUUGAGCAACAGGGCUCACUCCAGCUUUUAAUAGAGGAGGUGGGGACACACUUGCUUGACUAUCUUGCCCCCACUCCAUGGCAGCCAUUUGGUGGUGGACCCUAUGAAUUUUGAAAUGUGACUGCAGGCCAACAGCUAAGAUAAAGUCAUUAGGCCAACCUAUGUUGGUGAAGAGAAACUGUUAAAUGGGCACGUCAAAUUUUAUGCUGGAUCUAUAACUAGAUAAACAGGGGGGAAAUAAGCAGAGGAAUAUAUUGGGGGGGGGGGGCAAUGUGCAGUAGUCACUAGUAUUGGAGCCUCGCACCGGAACCCUGGGCUGUUGAUUGCUGCCAUAUCUACCUGAAUGCCCUGUGCUUUUCAAUUAAGCCUCACGUUUAAGAAAAGCAGUAAGCUUAUUAAUGUCUUUCUUGCAAUUGGGGCUUGAGGUCAGUACCUGUCAGUUGCCUGAUUACUUCAAGCCCACCUGGGAUUGCCUGCUCUCCAGAGUUUCAGAUCAGGAACUCUGGAGUGUAGCUGAUCUAAGUUGGGUUGGAAGUCACCAGCAAUUGACUGAAUAGUGGUGACUUCAAGUCCUGUGGGAACAUUCCUUUGUGGCAUGGCUUGUCUCCCAGUUAAUGUUGCAAUGGAAAAAAAAUGGAUCAUCUGAUGUCAUGGUGAUGUCACUUGAUGUGUACACAACCCCACCUGUCAAAGUGGCCUACUGGGGGUGGCGGAGCUAAGGAUCUGGCCUGCCAGGCUGAAACGUUUCCCCACCCUUGCUCAACAGUCCAGCCAUAGUGUACUGCACUAAGCUGCAGCUUCCAAACCAGGCUUAAGGUCAGUCCCCCACACAGCACACAACAGUAGUCCAGUCUUGAGGUUACCAACACACAGGUCACUGUAAGCAAGCUAUCCCUGCCCAGGAACAGGUAUACAUGUUUGCAAAGGGGCUGUGGGGCUAUACUGUUAGUCCCUACCUCAUCACCACUCAAUUCAUUUAGGCUUCCCACAGUAUUAAGCAUUAUCUUGCAGUGAUACUGAAACCCCAUGAUACCAGGCCAGAAGUUAGCAAUCUCCCUUGGUCUACACAAAAGGACCCCUUGACCUAAAUUCAGCCAUGUUUGUAUUCUGCUUCUUCAACCCUGCACAAAUAUUAAGACCCCUUUUGCUUGACACACCUAGCUCCCUGCAACCUGACACAUUUAACCAGCUGCAGUAGACAUUAGAGGAACUUACACUGAUGAGCUUUGUGGUUAGCUAAUUUCCCAGAAUUGAAGAAGGUACAAAGAUGGUAAGGGGAAGAGGGACACAACACAAUGAGUUGCCUCUAAAUCACAAUACUUGUCUGAACUAGAUUGACAGCCACCUCUAGCCAGGGAGUUGACCACAGAAGUUCUUGUUCUUGUAGUUUUGUCUGCUUGUAUUAGACAAUUGUUAGAGAAUGCAAAUGCUUGUUUGAUAGAAAGCAACACAAGAAGAACAUGUCCACACAAGGACAAAGACCCCUUUAUACCAAUGGGGCACAGCAGGGAUCACAGGGGAGGCGGGAGGGUACAUGUAGAGAAAGUACAUAACGUGUGUUCCGUAUAUAACGUGUGUGCUUCGCUGGUUCAGCUUUGGAAAGGAAUCCCUGAACCCAAAUUUCAGUGCUGAAAUAAAUCUUGUGAACUUCCACUCAGUUGUUUGUCCUUAUUGGCUGGGAGCUUCAACGAAAGAUUGGACCAGCUGGGGCCCUAAAUCGUGCAGCGAGAUUUACAACUACAUGGGAAGUUGCCUGAUGUGCGUAAUGAUGAGGCACUGGCUAAAUGGAUGGUCCCACACCCCCUUUGCACCCACACUGCCCUUUAAAGUGAGCAGCAUCUGAAUAGAGCUAGUGCAUUUGGGAGAGCACACCAGAAUGCACUAAUGUGCAUGCACUAGUUUCUCCUCUCAGUGAUAUGUGCAGGUCCCCAUCUUUACCUCCUGUCCCAUGUCCAGUCUGGCUCCUAAUAAAAUCUUGCUGUGUAAUCCUGUUAAUCCUAUUAAUUUUGGUGCAAAUUGCUCCCAGGUAUGUGGGUGUAGGAUUACAAUUGUUGCAAUCAGUCAGUCACAACCCAGAAAUAAGGGUGAUGAUGAAGACAAAGAUCCCUGGUAGGAGUCCAAGGAUUUUACAGGUACACAAGUCUUCCCCCAUUUUUACAAUUAAACUAUUGCACAAUAAUCAAAGAUGCAAGCAAUGUUAACAAAUUAUUGAAAUCCUGCAGCAAAACUGGGGGGGGGGGAGGGAGAGAGAGAGGGAGAGAGAGAGAGAGAGAGGGAGGGAGAGAGAGAGAGAAAGAGAGAGAGCUCUUGGACAAGAGAAACAAGAGCAACUGGUUGGAGAAAAGGAAGUAACACAAAGUAGGUCAAUUAAUAAAUUAAGAUGCAAUGAAAUUAAAUGCUUUUUUAAGUCUUAAGAGACAGUGCCUUUCUUUCUAUUUGCCUUCCAUAAGAAAACUAAAGAAAGGUUGUAGCUAACUAAUCAGCAAGCUUUUCCUAAAAAUGGUCAUUGAAAGCAAACUGGGAAAUAAUUUGAAAUUUUGAAUCUGUUCUGGUGUAGUAGAUAAAACUCUAAAAGAUAUGAAGUAAAUUAACAAGCUUCCCUUAGCAAACCACUGACAAUUAUUUUUGAAAAGCCAUGGUAAAAUUGACAAAGCUAAGUUUUAGAGCAAAGGCUCUUUCUCAUUUUCAAAAUGGCAACAUUCACUCCCAGCACUAACUUUUAUUUCUAGAAACCUCCCCAGUGAACCUUGGGAACCAAACAAGAAGAGAUGCUGAAAGUGUAAUUGCCAGAGGAAACAUCAGGUGUGCAUUUCACCCUUGCUGUGUAAUGCCUAGAAGAACUUACCUGUAUUUUGACACUGCAACAUUCUGUGUAUCCAUGGUGGAAUUGUUGCCACAUUCCUAGUUGGAGGCUCCCACAUGAAAUUGCUGGUGCAAAACAAGGCAUCUGGGAGGAAAAGCGAAGGGCAGUUGCAAAAGGAAACCACUGAGCGGAGUUGACAGGAGCAAACUUGCUCUUCCGCUGUGUGGGUUGCAAAAAGCAGCUGCUGCUAGCAGAGAAACAGCAAGCCCAUUCAACACACUUUUAAAGUGCAUGGCUCUCCUGAAAUAAUAUUGGAAAGUACACUUGGCCCCUCACACGCAUCUAAAAUUCCCAGCAUCCUUAACAAACUAGUUCCCAGGAUUCGGGGGGCAGGGCAGGGGAGCAGUGUGUUUGACCAGUGUCUCUUUCCAAUGCUUUGGCCUUCCCAUGUAAGCUUGACUCAUCUUAAAAGAGCACUCUUUAAAGAGCCAGUUUCAUCCUUACUGUUGAUUCAGUCAAUCUUUAAAGCUGUUGUUCAUCAAAUAUGCCAACUUGCUGACAAAUAUGGACUCCUACUUAUUACUGAUUUUGCUUCAGAAACUCUGUGCUGCACAUCAGGGGUUGGGUGAGGGGAAGCUUGUUGGAUCUACUUUGCAGUGAAAACAACAACAGCCUAACAGCUGCCAGCAGGAGCCAAGUGCAAAAAUGCACACACAGCCCAGCUGCAGUAUCAGUUAAAGGGAUUAUAAUACAAUGGGAUUAUAAUAAUUCAAGUAGAGAGGAUUUUAAUUUCAAAUUAACUUUGUUUGAUGCGUUCGCAAAGUUGCUUGAUUAAAGGGAUGCCGAGUAAUGGUGGGAGGCACCAGCUAAGAAACCCCCAAGGGAACCCCCAGGGGAAGAAGGCUCAGAGUCAAGGGAUUGGUGGGGGUAGGACAAUGAGUGGUCAGAGGGAGAAGGAGCAAAGCGGGAGGAGGAGGUGUCAGAAGAGGUGACAGGGUUUAGUGAACAGGAAGAGGCUGCGGCAGAGCAUAGUUCAGACUCUGAGGCAUAAGCAGAGGUUGGAGGGGAGGGGAGACAGGAGGGGUGCUGAAGAGUUCAGGGAGUCUCCCCCUCCUGCUGCAACCAGCUCCCCUCCCUCCUGGUCUCUGAGAACCCAUCAAAAAUGAAAUGAGCAAAGCAGAGGGUGGUUGUGCACAAACGCAUCCUGAGACUGUGAGGGAAAAACCCUGGAGAGGAGGAAUCCUAGUGGGCACUGGGAAGUCCUCACAACUGCUUCAUCAGGGCAAGACCUCCUAGACAGAAUUGCUGAGAGCUGUGUUUCCUUGACUAAAAAGUUAACUUCACUGGUCUUGGAUGACUUAUAGUUUUCUUGCAGACCGACACCUGACUCCAGCCCUGACAGGCAGAUACUCAGACCACAGAAAUACAAUUGGUAGAUACGGCUCUGUGUGAUGUCAUUUCCUAUCCAUUCCUAGAGUGGAAGGAGCACAUACUAGUUCCUGUUCCUCUUCCUUUGACCAGCAUUGGAUGUAGACAUGUCCCCAGUUGCUCCAGCUUUGGGCACAUGCUUGAAGCCAGUUAUACUGCAAAUGUAAGUAUUUUGCCUGCAUAGUUUUUACUGCUGCCUUUGCUGUGAAUCAGUGACAUUCAACUGCAUGUAUGGAAGGCUUCCUAUAUAUACACUGCUGCUGUAUGUGCAUGGGGUGUUCCAUGCAAUUAGAAAUCUUACUCAAAUAUAGACUUCUAUUAUGAGUUUUCUAGUACCCUCCCCCAAGUACUUAUUCAUGCAGCUCAUAUUUAAAUGAUGGAACUCACUUCCAUAGGAGGCGGGUUAACCACAAACCUAGAUGGUUUUAAAACAGGAUUUGACAAAUUCAUGGAGGAGCAGAGGGCUAUCAAUUAUCACAGCUAUUAGCUACGGAGGUUGUGCUUUGCCUCUUCAGUGGGAGGCUGCAAGGCUUCUGAAUGCCAGUUGCUGAAAACCACAGGAGGGGAGAGAUGCUCUUGUCCUCAGGUCUUGCUUAUAGGGGCAUCUGGCUCGCCACUGUGGAAGGACUUUCUGACAGCAAGAGCUGUUUGACAGUGGAGUGGACUCCCUCAGGAGCUUUUGCUAUCCUUCCUUGGAGGCUUUUAAGCAUAGAUUGGAUGGCCAUCUGUCCUGGAGGCUUGAGUUUAGAUUUCAGCACUGCAGGGGCUGGACUAGAUGAGCCUCAAGAUACCUCCCAACUCCAUGGUCCUAUGAUCCCAUGACUAGAUAUGCCAAUGUCUUGAUCCAGGAGGCUCUUCUUAUGCCCUUAUUUCUAUUUCCCCAUUGUUAACUGUAUUUUGCUUUGUCAUUGUUAUUCUAAAACAAAAGAUGGACUUACGCUGCAGCUUGUCUACUGCUUAACAAAUAUCUGAAAACGGGUCAAUUUUCACUGACAGUCGAACAAAACAGAGUAUGUGUGAGCAUUUUCCUCUCGGCAAAAAAUACUUGCCAUUGUUGUAAUCUGCUAAUGGCUUCCUUACCUUAGUGUAAAUUCUCAGGGUCGGCCCUGCAAUGCAAAGAAUAUAAGACCAUAAGAAGAGCUCUGCUGGAUCAGGCCAGUGGCCCAUUUAAUCCAGCGUCCUGUUCUGGCAGUGGCUGGGCUGGUGCCCAAGGCAGGUCUGCAAGCCAGACCUUAGUGCAACCUCACGCUCUCCUUCUGCGGUUUCCAGCAACUGGGAUUCAGAAUCAUACAGCCUCCAAUAGUGGAGGCAGAACAUAAGUAUCAUGGUUAGCACUGGCAGAGGAAGAGGAGUGUGGGCGGUGCGCCACGCCCCCGGGAUGCGCGCCAGCUCCGCCCCCGCCUGCUCUCCGUCCCCCGGUGCCGGAGCAUGAAGCUCCACCACUGAUAGUUAGUAGCCACUGAUAGCCUUUAAAGCUAAUAUGGAAUGAUUAGUGCAGCAGCCCCAGGAUACUGAGUGGUUUGGAUAUUGAGUGGUUCUAGUCAUUGUCAACAUGCCCUUGCAUUCAGCAAGCAGAUCUUCAUCCUGCCUAGGAUAUAAAAGACAAAUAGGUUAACGCUGCUCUUUCUGAAUUCUGAUAACUGUCAGAUAGUUUGAAGAAUAUGUUUUUGUCUAUAUCCUGACAAAUAAAUCAAUAUUGCCUUUUAGUUUGAAUUAUUGUAGUACUUGGAGAUAUGAAGACUAGCUUCUUCCUUGCACAAAGACUGUUGAUAGUCAAAGUUAAUUGUUCCCUAAAUCGUAAUCGUAGUAGUAGUAGUAGUAGUAGUAGUAGUAGUAAUAAUAAUACAGACAGUCUCUCUCAAACCCUUCCAUAACAUUUUAUUUUCAGGAUUAUAUGACAUUAAACUUUUAAAACCAUGGUGUAGCAAACAAUUACUGGUAUGAAUACAUUUGGGGAACAAACUGAGGACAAUUAAUAAGUUUUUUAGUUCCAUCUAGUGGGAAAGAUGUGAAUGUUGUUUUGUAAUGAAAUUGGCAACAAUCACGUCAGAAAUGCUGAAAAAAGAGAAAUGGCAAAUGUUCUGUUAAAUAUAAAACUUCUACAAUUGGGGAGAUAUAAUAAGAUUUAAGAGGAAGUGCUUAUGCUAGUGUUUUUUGUUUACUUGGUUACGUUGGAGAGAAAAAUGGGUUUGAAUUUUCAAGCUCUGAUAAGUGUAUACGUUGAUGCAGGUUAUAGCUUAGAUCAGAAGAAACCAAACAUGGCUGGGAUUUUCCUCAGAUACCCAAGUAAUUAAGAAGUGAAGGGAACAAAACUUAGGCAAAAACCACCAUUGUAGGCUCUGGGUUGGCUGAGUAGGUUAGAACUUAGGCCCCACUGAAAUCAGUGGGGAAAGAUAGUCACAGCUUUCAACAAUUCUAUAAAUGAAUGGAAUUUAUCUUAAAUAAAGGGACUACAAAGGUCCUCUAUUCCAACCCCCUGCAAUGUAGGAAUAUUUUUGCCCAGCAUGGGGCUCAAACCCAUGACUCUGACAUUAAGAGUGCCAUGCUCUACCAACUGAAUGUUUCUUUAUUUCUCUGUUUUUGCAAUAAUUAUACCUACCUUUAUAUUUCGCCAAUUGGAGUCUUUAUAUCUUGACAUGCCACAUCAUGAGGAUACCUCUCCUUUCCUUAACUCUGAGAAUAAACAAAUAAAUAGUAAUUGAAAACUUGGAUAUACAGUACACCAAUUCUAUCACUCCUCUUUUGAUUCUUCUUCCUUUAUACCCAAGAGCAUAAUUACAAUCUACAAUAAUGAAUUUAUAAAAGCAGAUCAUUAUGUGUAAUGCCGAAGUCCUUCAGUAAUUUAUUUUUACCAUUGUAACACUGAGCUGCAUUAUUGUCGACAGAAAAUCAUGUAAAUUCUCUGAAGCCUCUUAAACAGGCCCUCAAGGUAGAGAGUUAUAGCAUUUUUCUGCUACAGGCUAGUUAUACUUUCACGGUCAAAGUAUAAUGUUAGAACAUAGGGUAUGAAGAGCCAACUCUUCAAAACUGAAGCAGAAAAAUAGGUGGAGAAUUAUUUUCAUAUAAAAGGUGCAUUACUGAGUAGCUCGGUUGAGCUGGAAGUCUGCACGUGAGUCAGACCUACCACUAGUACUAUUAUUAUUUAGUGACAUUAAUGUAUUAAUGACCUUCUAUACAUUAAGGCAAGGGACGCGGAUGGCGCUGUGGGUUAAACCACAGAGCCUAGGACUUGCCGUUCAGAAGGUCGGCGGUUCGAAUCCCCGCAAUGGGGUGAGCUCCCAUUGCUCAGUCCCUGCUCCUGCCCACCUAGCAGUUCGAAAGCACGUCAUUGUGCAAGUAGAUAAAUAGGUACCACUCCAGCGUGAAGGUAAACGGCGUUUCCAUGCACUGCUCUGGUUUGCCAGAAGUGGCUUAGUCAUGCUGGCCACAUGAUCCGGAAGCUGUACGCUGGCUCCCUCGGCCAAUAAAGCGAGAUGAUUACGCAACCCCAGAGUCAUCCGCGACUCGACCUAAUGGUCAGGGUCCAUUUACCUUUACCUUUAUACAUUAAGGCAAUGUACAACAAAAACAGCAAAAGAAAAAUUAAAAAAUACAAAAAAGGUAUUGAUACAUUUAAAACAGAACUAAAACCAUACGAAUAGACACAUGUGACAAAGAUCCAUAUAUCCAGUUUGGAAUGCCUGAGACAAAAAUGUCUUUAAUGUCCAAUAAAUUUCAUUAUGGUUGGUUUGUGGUUCUGAACAUCCCUUCUUCUCUUCUUGUGUCACAUAUGAAUGUAGGACAGAAUGUGGACAACACAAAACAAAUGAGGUCAGCUACUAGAGAGAGGACCUUCUCAGUAUUGGCACCCACAGAAAGGUCUGCCUAGUACUGAUAUGAUACCCUUUUUAGGUGCCAGGUCAAUACUUUUUUUUUUUUAACUCCUUUUUAUAUUAGCUGUACUGAUAUCAUUAUCUGUUGCUGGUUUUAAUUAUGUGUUAGAUUUUAGUAUCAUGUUACAUUUUAUGUUUUUAAUUUUCAAUUUUUCACCCUAGGGGCCUUUUGUCAUUAGGUGGUAUAUAAUUAUUGGGGAUAAUAAAUAAAUUCAUAAAUUUAAUUGUUGUAUCUUGGCUAGAAUGCUAUUCCACAGAACAGGGGCAGCCACACUGAAAGCCCUGCUCUUGGUUAUUGUGGAGUGGACUUUUGCAAUCUUUGGAACUUGCAGGCUUUUGAAGACUUUGGAAGUGCUGUGCAUAUAAUGUGAUAUCUCUAACGGCUCUGUGUACAACGAGUUGCCAAUAUAACAAAGCAAGCAAACGUUGGCUCAGGUUGACUACUCUUCUUAUGCAUGGGACUUGGACAUGAGCACCAACUUCAGAUGUUAAAUACUGCUAAAAAUAACAAAGACAUACCUCUGCUAAUACCUAAAUAGUCAUUGACACUAUUUGCCACAUCUAAGGCAAUCAUAUGCCUCUAUACUAGCAUUGGUUAGCUCUGCUAGGAUCAAAGAUGUCAUUCUGACCAACAAGUUCUACUGAUAAUUGAAUCAAUGUACUAUUAGCAUUCCCUGGGAAGCAAACACCACUUGUUUCCUCAAGGGACACCCUCGAUAUCUGACUGUUUUCAUUGGUUCAGAAAACUGUUGUGACCACCCAAUCAAUCCAUGACAGGAUACCUGCUUUGUUGUACCUGCUGAUGACUCAGUAUCAGUGCCAGUAGUCAUUGAAUGUCCCUUUUGUCUAGUUUGUACUUGAUUUAAUAAUAUUUUUUGUCUAGGAGGCUCUGCUCUCUAAUUGGUGUCUCUCAAAUGACAUGUCCUCUAAAUGGUUUCCCUGUUUAGUUUUAGUUUUUUUAUCCCAGACUCUCCACAGUUCAACCUUUGGAAUUCCUCUAGGAGAAUGGUAUAUGCUUGCGGUUCGAGGACCCGAUCCCCGCUUAGUGGAAUGAAAACACAAGGACACGUGAUAUAAGGUUAAUAGGCAAGAAAAGGCCACAACUUUAUUGAUUACAGCAAGUGAAAAGGUAUUGGCUUAGGCAUUGGAUUACGUCAGCCGACUCCACCCCCUCAGAGAGGGGUGAGUCUAAAACAGGGGGGUUUAUUCACCAGUAGGUGGAGCCUGUUGAUGCUAAUCCAACUAUAGGCUCUCCCCUGAUGUCACCGAGGGUCGUGCCAUGGCCUCCCACCACGCAGGCAUCGGACAGAACACACGACCGCCGGAUUCCUUUAACGGAAUACCCAAAAAUUGAAGGCGUAGGCGAUGGCCACACCUAGCUCUUCGACAUACCACAACACGUUAUUCCAAUGCCUAACCUACCCACCAAUACCACAAAAGUUGUGACGAUUGCUAUGAGGUAGGCGAAAAAACCAAAAAGCCUAAUGCCAAAUGGAAAAAUUCCUACCAGGCCCCCCGGACAACCAGGGCGACCAACCUAAGGUCCAUAGCAAGGCCAAAGAAAACUGAGACCCUGAGCUCUAAGGGAGGGGAGGGUGGGUGACUCGCGACGGGACGACGAAGAGUGAGGCCGGGGGGGGGGGCUGGCGCCGCAGCAUUUUGGGCUGCUGUACACGCCCCCUCGGAGGCACCUGGUUGGGUGCCUGCCGGUGGGCGUGGGCGCCAGCCAGGUGAGUGGGAGGCAGGGGGCUAAUGCCCCCUGCUUGCGGCGGAGUCCGGCUCCCGACCGCAACCACUCCCCUCUCUUGCAGGAGGAGAGUCUUUCUCUCACGCAAGCCUGCUCAACUUCAUGAAAGUCCAUGGAAACAAACCUUGUAAGCCUUAACUAUAUCUUAUCCCUUUGUCUCCUCUCUGUGUUUCUUUUCUUCAAGUUAGCCGGGACCUCUCAAGGGAACAUGUUUUAUGUUCUUCCCUUAAGGGAGCUUCCCCCCCUCCCAUGUUUAAACCAUAUUAUGAGAGUUCUAAGCGAUCCAAGCUUGUGAAUCACUAACCACUGAAAUAUAUGUAUGGCCCUAGGGUGACCUACAAAAGCUUUCCUACCUUCAUCCAUCCCAUCAUCAUCUGAGCCUCUUUCCUGAAGCUUUUCCCCCCUUCUGAGUCUUACUAUCAAUCAUAUUCAGGUGGACAAGCUAAGGCAGACUAAAGAAUUUGUGCCUAGUCUUCAUCCGGUCCAUAGAACCCCACAUUCUUCAAAUCAAGAUGAAAUCUGGAGAGUCGCCUCCUUUCCUCCUCCAUUCCACAGAACAGGCAGCUGAGAGUAUUUCAUUUCACCUUUUGUUCUCUACCUUAACUGUUUCCCAAAUUGUACUGUCAUGUGAUCCAGGGGUAGGCAACCUAAGGCCCGGGGGCCAGAUGUGUGCUUUUAUUUAAAAUGCAUCUCUGGGUUAUUUGUGGGGCAUAGGAAUUCGUUCAUAUUCCCCCCCCCCAAAAAAAAUAGCCUGGCCCACCACAUGAUCUGAGGGACGGUGGAUCGUCCCACGGCUGAAAAAGGUUGCUGCCCCCUGAUGUGAUCCAAAACAAGGUAAUUUGCAUUCAUGCGUUCCCUUGUGUGACUAGGUUUCCACUGCAGCUCUGUCAGAUCCCUCUCCCUGCUCCUUCUCUGGCAAUCACUGAACUGAGUGCGUCCAUCGAUCUCUAUCAUAAUAAUGCACUUAUUCUAAGUCACUGGUUAACUUUGCAUACAUGCAAACCCAACAUUCAUCACCUCUUCCCAACUCUUCCUCUCUUCGCAAAUCACUACAACCACCAACCACACACUGCACACAAAAUCUGGGAUUUUAAAAUAAGAAAAAAACUUAGAGUAGUAGGGAUAAGUAAACUGAUGAAGUGUUUUGUGAAUCAGACUAAAAGCACAUCAAAUAGAGCACCAAAUUUCUUAUGCUGUCAAACAGUUUUAAAAGAAGGGGGUGUUGCCCUUACCCCGUGUUUUGUGUGCUCAUCUCUGAGCUCUGCACUUUCUCUGUGCUCAAUAGAUCAGUUAUGCUUUGUUCAAAGUGCUGAAGGGUGAUUUGAUAGGGUGAUGGAUGAUUAUCUUCCAGGUCACUUUCAUCCCAUGAUGCUUGAGGAAAGAGACAGAAAGGUAAAUAGAUCAAUGGAAAGUCUUAAAGAAUCCUUGAUGUGUUCUUCCUUCUCAAAGCAGCUCAGCUAUCUACAGGAGCUGUGGAAAGGGAAGCCAUGGGGAAUGGCAAAUGAAGAAUAUAUUUGCUUUGGAGUGAAGCCCAUUUCAGUAGAAGAAGGAAACUGUUCCUGAAUCUGCUAUUUUCUGUGUUAAUUUUUUCACAAAAAUAUUUUAACUACCGUAAAUCUAAUUGGAACAUGAUAAUAACCUAAAACCAUAGCUGUCAACUUUUCCCUUUUCUUGCAAGGAAUCCUAUUCGGAAUAAGGGAAUUUCCCUUUAAAAAAGGGAAACAUUAAGAGCUAUGACCUAAACAUGCUAGCAUUUCACUACAGAAGAAUAGCCUUCCUUAUUAUCCUCCAGAUAUUAAUUGCACAUUGGGUUGGAUUCAAAGAGUAAAUGUAAAGCAAAUAUAUUCUAUUUGGGUAACUAACUACUAUUUUCUACUUCCAUCCAAUCUCAAUAUGCGUUUUUUCUGGAACGCAUUGCUCCCACCCUUAACAUCCAUACCACUCCUUCUUUCAAAGGCCUUUUUCAAAUGUGCAAUCUAGGUAGAAUAAGUAAGCAUGAGAGAAGAAGCAGGUUCUGUCCAGAAACAGCAUGCAUUCAAUUUCAGCAUCUUAAGUGAGCCAACACACUACAAGGCAGGGUUCUCAUUGCAGCAACAGGACCCAUAACUGAAUGCACAAUAGUUGAGGAUGGAUCCUUCCACCAUGAUAUCCAUGAAUGUUCAUUUGAUUCAGACUAAAAGACUGAAAAAAGCUUGUGUUUAAACAUCUCUAGACAGAAUCACAUUCUUCCCUCAAACCUUUCAGCUCCACUCUUUGCCUCUUUUCUCUUCCUUUCUCAUUUUCCACUUUUAUAAUUUGCUGGUUUUACACUGUAGGCCAGCAGCUAGGAUUUGUGCUAAAUCACAAGUGCUUUAUGAGUAGGAAACAUGAUGUUUAAGUAUGCUCCCUAUUUUCCUGGCCAUAGGAGCAUACUAGAAUCCAACCUAUAUUUCAAUUAAACUCUAUAGAAGCUAGGCCUGAACACUCUUCAUGCAUUGUAUUCAUGUUUGAGGGAGUAGGGCUACAUCAACUAACCCCACACCUGACAUUGUGCACUCUGACUUGCCCUGCCCGCAGUACAGAACAAACAUCUGUACUAGGGAAUCGUUGCAUGAAUUUCAGGGGAUAAGACAAACUGGUAUGUGUGACAUUGGAAAAUGGGCUAGUCAGGACUUCUGAUGAAGGCUGCUGACUAUGCAUUAUGUAAAGGGAGAAUUCAAACUUGGGGAACUGUUUUUGAUGGCAGGGGUUCCCAUAACAUAUAUAGCUCAAUGCACACUUUAUGGCCAAUGCUGUCUGGAAAUGGGCUGCAAUUACCUGAUGGCCAAUUCAAAGGAAAAAAGGAAAAACUUAAUUUUUUCAACAAAAGUAAAGUGUUGGUUUUUCCUUUCCUGAUUUAACAAGAAAGCAGCGUGUGCAUAUAUUUAACAAACAUGCACAUUUUACCUGCCCACAAACCCACUAGGCAUCACACCCCAAGGGGCAGAAGUAGCCUAUUCAGUAUUCAGUCCGAGUGUAUUUAUAGCCAAAGAGUCGAACUGUGAGGAGAAUUUAUCAGGGCUGUGAAAGGAGCAUCAUGAAUUAUUUACCAAAAAAAAAUCAAAUUUUAUAACCCUUCUCAAUCUUUCAUAAACUGUGUCUUCCCAUUUUAUUUGAAAUUUUACCUGCAAUCAUAAUACAGCAUAAGUCAGAGAAAUGUCUUUCUGAAAGAUUUGUAAGAGCACAGGUAGAAAGCGGGCACACAAUAGUGCCUGUACUUGAAAGAAUUGCUGGAAUGACUAGUUAAGUGUUUAAUUUUUAAAGCAUGCAGGGGGAUGUGACAGAUCUCUUUUUAAACUUCCAUAACCCCCUUUCUUUCCAUUUAGGAGGAAAGAAAGACACAAAGAAUCAGUCACACCAGUUCUUCUUUAAAGAUCUUCUCCCUCCCGCCCUGUUUCAGAAAGAGCAGAAGGAAGGCAACCUGCAACUCUCCCUCCUGCCAGUUCUUUUUUGGUCCUACUGCAAAUUUCUCCUUUUUAUCUCUCUCCAAAACCAAAGCAAUCCUCUGCACAACCUCCAUGGCUGAAACCCAGUUCACUUCUCGCCCUCUCCUACUAUCUCGUCUCUAGGACAGUUAAAUAUACAAUUGCCGUUUUAUUUUCUCUUUCAAUAAAACUGGAUUUUGG